CACCUUAGUUGAGUACUUCGCUAGUUUUCCCGCUUCACUUUCUUCUUCUUCCAUCUCUUUGAAGCUCUCCUCUUCUUAAGAAUGACUAGGGUUUAUGAUUUCUCACUAUAGAAUUUGGUGCUUUUUUGCUCCUAUCAACUGCGAUUUCUCGUUCAUCCGUACUGUUUUGUAACACUGCUUACUCGGCACCUUUUGGUGGCAUUCAUUCAGAUGCACAAAGCUCCAAGUACAUGCCGAGGAAAAUGCAUUUUUUUUUUCUAAUGAUUUUGUUUUGAAAUACCUCAGUUCAUAAUCAUCACCUUCCAGUGGCAAGAUUUUUAGUGGUUGGUAUGAACAAAAAAGAGGAAGAAAAGAGACAAGGCACGAACCAAAUUGAUACAUAUGUAAGAUUUUAAUUGUCUAUGCCAACUACUAACUCUGUUUAAUUGGAUUUUCCGUGUAGCUUUGUGUUUCUGUUUUUUCCUUGGUAUUUUCUGCAGAAACAUAUGAUGGAAGUUUCACAGAUUCAGUUUAACUUCUUGGGUCCUUAUCUCUAAUGCUCUCUGUGCUUUGGCCUUGAACUUCUCUAUUUUCUUGGCAAUUGGAAGAACUGGCACGGUUACCACUCGAGUUGGUGGUGUUCUUGUAGCCUUUUCAACUGUUCUAUUUCAUUAGUUUACGAUCACACGGCUGAAUAUAAUAGAAUAUACAGUUGCACUCUGUGGUGUAAUUGCUUAAAGAUGAAGAAUGUUCUCGUAUCUCAUCCUCCACUAUCUACCGACAACAUUCCCAAAAAAACUUGUGAUGGUUAGUGCCCAUUUGCUAUUGUUCUUUAGAUAACAUAUAUGAUAACAUAUGGUUCGAGUAGAAAUAAUUACGAUCGGAGUUUAGUCUCAUGUAGUAUCAGGGUAAGAUAUAUUACUCUUCCACGCAGACAUAGAACAAUUUCUUUCUAACUAGCAACCAUAAAAUUCAGACCAUAGUUAUUCUUGCACUAACCUGCAGAUGAACGAAAGGUAUCAAGAACAAGAAGUAUUUCCUUUACUACUAUUAGUGUUUGAUAAUCAAAAGAUAGCCCUAAAGCUUACAACCUAACCGAUUACAGAGAGUUGGUUCUCUCCCUCUUCUCGCUACUUUCCUAUUACCAAAAAAAAAAAAAAAAAAAACCUAAUCCUGCCAAUUACAACUCUUUAUUAUAUACCGUGGUUCUAAUCUCCGUUCUAACUAACUUUCACUCUGGGCUACCCUUUUUACCCUUCCUAGUAUUCCAGCAACAUCAGUUUUGUAUGCUCAAUUAUAGAAGCAAAUUUGAAGAACUACCACAAUAGGUGUGGCUAGCUUUGUAGAAAUGGUUGAGACGAAGACUAUGCUUUAUGGUAAUUCUUUCUUUCAUA